rnacentral:rRNA from 1 species
CGCGUAGGCGGCUGUGCCAGUCAGGCGUGAAAUUCCUGGGCUCAACCUGGGGGCUGCGCUUGAUACAGCAUGGCUUGAGUGUGGAAGAGGGUCGUGGAAUUCCCAGUGUAGAGGUGAAAUUCGUAGAUAUUGGGAAGAACACCGGUGGCGAAGGCGGCGACCUGGUCCAUGACUGACGCUGAGGCGCGAAAGCGUGGGGAGCAAACAGGAUUAGAUACCCUGGUAGUCCACGCCGUAAACGAUGUGCGCUGGAUGUUGGGCGGCCUAGCCGUUCAGUGUCGUAGUUAACGCGAUAAGCGCACCGCCUGGGGAGUACGGCCGCAAGGUUGAA